GCGGACGUGGUGCACGGUGCACCACUGCAUUCAAUUAUGAUCUUCCCUAUCUUCCCGAAGUAGUGAGACGGGGUUCGACUCCCCGCGUCCGCA